UUCCGCCCCAAUCUCCGGCGCCACCAAAUCCUCGACGCCCAAAAUCCUCCACCACCCAAUUCCUCCGCCGACCAAAUUCGCCCGCUGCCCCAAACGCGCUGCUUAAGGCCCCUGCGCCCCAAAUCCUCCCGCCGCCGCAUCUCGUCAAAACGCGCCGCUCAAGGCCCCGCCGCUCCAAAUUCUUUGGACAGAACCGGUCUACAAUGACGCCGAGGAAAGAGCUGAGAAGAGCUGAAGAUUUGAAUAACACGAAGAGCUGAAGAUUUGAAUAACACGAAGAUCUGAGAAGAGCUGAGAAGGUCCUGUUGACUCUUGUAGUGUUCUUGCAGAGCUGAAGAUUUUGUUCACGUUUGGUCGAGCAGAGGUAUGCAUCGUGAGCCAGAAGGAUUUGUUCUUGCAAUCCUACAGUUUGAUCUUUCACACAGGUUAAUUGUUUACCUUGUGUAAGCAUUUUUCAGUAUUUGUGUAAUGAUUCAGGAUUCUAUUUCUUAUGUUCCCUGCCAAGUCAAUUUUAGGUGUUGGGCUAUGGUAUUAGGAGUCUUUUUUGUGUUCUGUCUCUUAAGAACAUUGCUCCCAGGGAAAUUGGGACAGUGGCUACAUCCUCUCUAUAUGAUAUGUUACCAUGGAUUGGAUGGUAUUUCCUGGCA